CAACAACAACAACAAAAACCCAACCAACACCAGGGUUUCGUUUCAUCUUAAUUUAUUUACCCUGUGCUGGUUUCUUCUCGUUUCAGUGUGUCAGGUGAUGUUGAGCACCGCCUGUCACUGCGGCAGCAGCUGCUGUUGUCACUCCCACCACAGCAGCAGCGUCAGUCUCAAGCACGGCGGCCACCACAGCACUCUCGGCUGAUUCCGGUUGGGUUUUGGCGUCAAGUAAACGCAAAGAACAGUGAGUCAGCUGAAUGCUGCCCAGCAUGGCGAAGAACGCAGUAGUUCGGGUGACAAUGAACAACAAACCAGCGGCCUCGUAAUCAAAAGCAAGGACUACCUGUUAAAUGGAGACCAAUUCUUCGGAUUUACCGUCAUAGGAGGGUUAAACCGGAAGUGAAGCUUCCAAGAACGUUUGAGGAAUGUCUGUAUGGCAGAAGUGAUUGUGUUGUUGUUGUUGUUAUUGUUACGUGUAUUGAAUUAUUGAAAUAAAAAGUGUUAAUGGUA
rnacentral:lncRNA from 1 species